rnacentral:rRNA from 1 species
AAUCAACGCUGGCGGCGUGCCUCAGACAUGCAAGUCGAACGCGAAAGUUCCCUUCGGGGAGCGAGUAGAGUGGCGCACGGGUGAGUAACACGUGGGUAAUUUGCCUUCGGGUGGGGAAUAACUCAGGGAAACUUGAGCUAAUACCGCAUAAUGCAGCGGCUCGACAUCGAGACAGUUGUUAAAGCGGGGGAGCAGCAAUGUCCUCGCGCCUGAAGAGAAGCCUGCGGCGGAUUAGCUAGUUGGUAGGGUAACGGCCUACCAAGGCGACGAUCUGUAA